rnacentral:rRNA from 1 species
UACGUGGGGUGCAAGCGUUAAUCGGAAUUACUGGGCGUAAAGCGUGCGCAGGCGGCCAUGCAAGACAGAUGUGAAAUCCCCGGGCUUAACCUGGGAACUGCAUUUGUGACUGCAUGGCUAGAGUACGGUAGAGGGGGAUGGAAUUCCGCGUGUAGCAGUGAAAUGCGUAGAUAUGCGGAGGAACACCGAUGGCGAAGGCAAUCCCCUGGACCUGUACUGACGCUCAUGCACGAAAGCGUGGGGAGCAAACAGG